GAAUUCAUAGUCUAGUUGGAGGUAAACGCUGUGAACUGAAACAUCUCAUUAGCAGCAGGAAUAUAAAGAAAUUUCGAUUCCCUAAGUAGCGGCGAGCGAACGGGGAACAGCCCAAACCAAAGUGCUUGCACUUUGGGGUUGUAGGACUGAACAUUUGAGUUACCAAAGAACUUGAUAGUCGAAGGAUUUGGGAAAAUCCGCCAUAGAUGGUGAUAGCCCAGUAGAUUAAAUCAAAUUCUCUCAGUUCAGGAUCCUGAGUACGGCGGAACACGUGAAAUUCCGUCGGAAUCCGGGAGGACCAUCUCCCAAGGCUAAAUACUACCUAGUGACCGAUAGUGAACCAGUACCGUGAGGGAAAGGUGAAAAGCACCCCGGGAGGGGAGUGAAAUAGUUCCUGAAACCAUGUGCCUACAAUAAGUCAGAGCGCGUUAAUGCGUGAUGGUGUGCCUUUUGUAGAAUGAACCGGCGAGUUAUGAUCCCGUGCAAGGUUAAGACUAAAAAGUCGGAGCCGUAGCGAAAGCGAGUCUGAAAUGGGCGUUUUGAGUACGAGGUUAUAGACCCGAAACCAGGUGACCUAUCCAUGUCCAGGUUGAAGGUGCGGUAAAACGCACUGGAGGACCGAACCCGUGUAAGUUGAAAAUUGCUGGGAUGAGGUGUGGAUAGCGGUGAAAUUCCAAACGAACUUGGAGAUAGCUGGUUCUCUCCGAAAUAGCUUUAGGGCUAGCCUCGGAAUUAGGAUCAUGGAGGUAGAGCACUAUUUGGACUAGGGGCCCGUCUUGGGUUACUGAAUUCAGAUAAACUCCGAAUGCCAUUGAUUCAUAUCCGGGAGUCAGACGAUGAGUGAUAAGAUCCACCGUCGAAAGGGGAACAGCCCAGACCAUCAGUUAAGGUCCCUAAAUGUAUGCUAAGUGGAAAAGGAUGUGGAGUUGCAUAGACAACUAGGAUGUUGGCUCAGAAGCAGCCACCAUUUAAAGAGUGCGUAAUAGCUCACUAGUCGAGUGAUCCUGCGCCGAAAAUGUACCGGGGCUAAGCAUACUACCGAAACCAUGGAUGCGACCAUUAGGUCGCGUGAUAGGAGAGCGUUCUAAGGGCGGUGAAGCAAGAUCGUGAGGACUUGUGGAGCGCUUAGAAGUGAGAAUGCCGGUA
rnacentral:rRNA from 1 species